rnacentral:pre_miRNA from 1 species
ACAACAUUUGGACCGUUGGUCUACCGAGCAAUAUCACCUGCUCGGUGGAACAUCUUCCCUUUCGUCGU